AAGGUUGUUUUAACAAGUCUGAUACAGUCAUGAUAUAACAAGAAUGUUACAAGGUUGUUCUAACAAGUCUGAUACAGUCUGUAUCAGACUUGUUAGAACAACCUUGUAACAUUCUUGUUAUAUCAUAACUGUAUCAGACUUGUUAGAACAACCUU